GUUUUUACUAAAUGCAUAUGGAUGUAUACAUGUGUGGGGCGUCCUCUGACCGGCCGGACCGAUGAUCUACGUUAGCUCGCUGGUAAGGGCUGGAUGAGAACUGCAGAGAACUGGGAUGUUUGGCGCAUACUUUGGGAGGCCUAUGUCCAGCAGUGACUGCGAUACGCUGAAAAGAGGCGAAUUAUUGUGCGUUCGGGGUUUUUAAUUACAUUUGCGUCAUAAACUCUGUAAAUAAACCUUAUUUAUAUUAAUUAAUCCUGAUUAAAAAAAAUUUGCAUUAUGUAAAUUAAAUAAUAAUGUGAUUA